GGAAUCUUGGACAAUGGGCGAAAGCCUGAUCCAGCCAUGCCGCGUGUGUGAAGAAGGUCUUCGGAUUGUAAAGCACUUUAAGCUGGGAGGAAGGGCAGUAAGUUAAUACCUUGCUGUUUUGACGUUACCAGCAGAAUAAGCACCGGCUAACUUCGUGCCAGCAGCCGCGGUAACACGAAGGGUGCAAGCGUUAAUCGGAAUUACUGGGCGUAAAGCGCGCGUAGGUGGUUCAGUAAGUUGGAUGUGAAAUCCCCGGGCUCAACCUGGGAACUGCAUCCAAAACUGCUGAGCUAGAGUACGGUAGAGGGUGGUGGAAUUUCCUGUGUAGCGGUGAAAUGCGUAGAUAUAGGAAGGAACACCAGUGGCGAAGGCGACCACCUGGACUGAUACUGACACUGAGGUGCGAAAGCGUGGGGAGCAAACAGG
rnacentral:rRNA from 1 species